GAUGAACGCUGGCGGCGUGCCUAAUACAUGCAAGUCGAGCGAACAGACGAGGAGCUUGCUCCUCUGACGUUAGCGGCGGACGGGUGAGUAACACGUGGAUAACCUACCUAUAAUACUUGGAUAACUUCGGGAAACCGGAGCUAAUACCGGAUAAUAUAUUGAACCGCAUGGUUCAAUAGUGAAAGACGGUUUGGCUGUCACUUAUAGAUGGAGCCGCGUCGCAUUAGCUAGUUGGUAAGGUAACGGCUUACCAAGGCAACGAUGCGUAGCCGACCUGAGAGGGUGAUCGGCCACACUGGAACUGAGACACGGUCCAGACUCCUACGGGAGGCAGCAGUAGGGAAUAUUCCGCAAUGGGCGAAAGCCUGACGGAGCAACGCCGCGUGAGUGAUGAAGGUCUUCGGAUCGUAAAACUCUGUUAUUAGGGAAGAACAAAUGUGUAAGUAACUAUGCCCGUCUUGACGGUACCUAAUCAGAAAGCCACGGCUAACUACGUG
rnacentral:rRNA from 1 species